UUUGCAAUCUGGAGAGUAAAUCUGUAUAUAAAGUAGCAGGGAAAGAGUAAACGGAAUCGAAAUCAUAAAGAAGAGAUUGAUGGAUCGAGAAGUAAUGGAGUAUUGAUUGUGGAGAUGAGAAUGGAGAGAACUGAAACGAUAGAGAAGAACCCGUAAGACGAAGAGAUAGAGGAGAGAGGCGUAGUUCGUCGUGAUAUCCGUCUCGUUAUUUUUUUUUUUAAUUGAACCGGAUAGCUCAGCCCAUUGCUAACCGGUGAAGCCCAUGAGAACAGAUCAGAGCCCGUACGAAAUCA
rnacentral:lncRNA from 1 species